rnacentral:misc_RNA from 1 species
CACCCCUCAAGCAUAGCUUGGUAUUGGACUUUCGCGGGUCCCCUUACAAGGGCUCGCGGGUUCGAAAAGCAGUGGCGGUCCCCGAGGAUUUCGCGCGUAGUAAACUUUAUCCCGCGUUGGAAAGAAUCGAUGAGUCUUGCCAAAACCCCCUAAUCUCCAUA